rnacentral:rRNA from 1 species
CAGUAGCCGCGGGAAUACAGAGGGUGCGAGCGUUAAUCGGAUUUACUGGGCGUAAAGCGUGCGUAGGCGGCUUUUUAAGUCGGAUGUGAAAUCCCUGAGCUUAACUUAGGAAUUGCAUUCGAUACUGGGAAGCUAGAGUAUGGGAGAGGAUGGUAGAAUUCCAGGUGUAGCGUUGAAAUGCGUAGAGAUCUGGAGGAAUACCGAUGGCGAAGGCAGCCAUCUGGCCUAAUACUGACGCUGAGGUACGAAAGCAUGGGGAGCAAACAGGAUUAGAUACCCGUGUAGUCCCUGUCUCUUAUAC